AUGUUUGAGCAAUUUGGUGAGUCUUUGUACAAGGCUGGUUCCUUUGUCACGGAGGAGGUGGAGCAUCGGAGGAAAUAUAUUGUGAGCCAUGUUGAAGCUGAGAGAAGGAACGGUUGGUGCAAAGUCGUUUUCAUAGUUACCGUUGAUGCCGACAUGACGCAGUUUGUGUGCGAGUGCGGCUUUUUUGAACAUGCGGGAUUGUUAUGCCCUCACGCUAUUAAGGUCAGCAUUACUUCACUAACGUGA
rnacentral:rRNA from 1 species